GUUGGUGAUAUUUAUAAUCAUAUUAUCAGUUGCAAAACAUAUAUCGAUAUUUGAAUGAUUUAUACUUAUAAAACAAGUUUAUUAAUUUAUGUGAUUAUGGGUGUUCCACGGAGCUAUACUCAUUGUAAUAUCUCCAGAGAUAACAAAUAAUCAAUUUAUGUUUGUUUUUAUAUUACUCACAGGGAUAAGUACUAUAAGACUACAAAUAUUUAUAUUUGAAUUAAAUUUGUAUGUUUUAGUAAAAAAAUUUAAAAACAACUUUAUAUUUUCAUUUAAAUUUGUGAAUUAUAAUAUUUUUUUAGAGUUCAGAGAAAAAAGUAUAUAAUCAAUUAGGUACUUUUAAUAAUAAUAAGAAUUAUUAUAAUUUAUAUAAAUCUUAUAAAAGUAGUUAAAAAAAACAAAAGUUAAUUAUCUUUAUUAUCUCUGGGGAUGAUAUUAUUUUAGUGUGGGUACAUAUUUUUGGGAUAUUAAUAAAUGUCCACUUGGAAGACCAAGAACAAGAUUGAAAGACACCGUAGAAAAGGUAUAGAGAUUGAUAGAUGGGAGUCCAAAGUUAGACUGGGUUUUGGUCAGAGAAAAAUGGAAAGGUUUACUAGUGGUAGUGCAAUUCCUGAAUAGACCAUUAAGCUGGGAGUGAUGAUCUUUUUCGGGACAUCUUGUAUAAUUUAGUUGAUUAAAUUUUAUACCUAGUUAAAUGUUUAUUGAACAUGCAUUUUUUCUAAAGAAUACUUGUAAUAUAUUUAUAGUAGUUUUAAAUUAAUCUACGGAGGAGGGUUAUAAUAAACUAGUGCUCAUCUUGGGCCUCAUACUUGUUAUUUUUACAAUUUCUUAAUAUAAUAUAAUCCCAAUUUUAGAUUCAUGAAGCAAUGGAAUGUACUGAUUUUACACCUUUUUUUUAUUUUAAAAAUUUUCUUCCAGCAAUCAUCUUGCUCAGAUUUUCAAGUGUAGCACAUUUUUAUAAAAGUUUAUUUAACCUGGAU